GUUAAUGCCGAGUUGCUUUAUUCUAAGUGCAAAGGUGAAAUGAUUUCCACUCCUGACAGCUCUGGAAGAAUAACGGGAGCAUGGAGAAACACUGUCUUUGCCGAUGCCCCAACUCAGUCUUCUCCUCUGUACAGAUCCAUCAAGUUCCAGCUUCUGUCACCCUCACCCUCCAACCUGAAAACGGACCAGAAAAAUCCAGUGAGAAAAGGUUAGAGAGCCUCUGUACCAAGGUGACGAGGAAUCGCAAAGUCCCACUGUUGCCUGCCUGGAGAGAAAGCGUUCGAGUGAAAGAGAAUAAAUCGUAUUCACCAAGCAAAUCAUUCAUCUUGACUGUUUAGGGCAAUUCCCUUUUGAUAUUUUUGUUUUCUGUAAGCUUGGCCUAGCCUUUAAAAAAAAAAAAGAACUGUCAUUUCUAUUCAAUUAACUGCUUCUCCCUCUGACUUUAAAUCAAGGGCAGUGUCUGUUCAAUUUAAUUACUUUCCAAAGAGGCUGUGUGGUAAAGCAGCCACCACGAAAGCAAAAGAGCCAUAUGGUGCUUUACAAGGCAAGAAUUCGAUAUAAUUUAAGGAUAUUCUCCUAACAGGAAAUGCAAUAAAGCUGAUUUCCCCCCUGCU
rnacentral:lncRNA from 1 species